rnacentral:lncRNA from 1 species
CUUUGGUCCGCCACAGCUUCUGUCCCACCAACUGUAACAACUUCACAUUCAACAGCAACAUCCACAGUUACAGUAUUGCCUUCAUUAUACAUAUCUUCACAAGCAAAGAUUUGCUCCCAUUGUUGCUCGAGUGUCAUCUCAUAAUAGGUUGAAUGUUUCAUUUGAUCUUUAAGAGCUGUCCCUUCCUUGAUAAACAUGAAAGGGCAAUACCACUUCCCCGCUACUACAGGCGGGGAACAUUUUUGUGACACUGGGAAGUUGAAGUCCGGGAGGCGGGCGCGGAGAGCUGUGUUAAGGCCUGGUGCUUCAUUUAGCUGGAACUCCUUUGAAGUUGAGGUAUACACUCGCCAGCCCUUUCUCCUCAGGAAAUCUGGAGGAAACCCAUCUGAAGCUACGGAUUUAGCAGCAAAAUCUCCCCGUUUACGGUGUUGAAUCUCAAAUUGCUGAUAAAUGUUUCUUGGGUCCAAAGGUUGCGGUUUUAAAUCAGAUAUACGGGUGCAGAAACAGCAUGUUUUCAUAUCCUCUUCCUUGGAGUUUAUGUAAGCUUCCCUGAAAGCCAAUAUGAGUGUGGAUUUAUUAAGAAUUGGCUAAUUAAAACGAGCGAGAAAAAAAAAAGGAAAUGUUUGCGCCCAUUUUCUUAAUCCAGAAACGCAGCGGUGAUUCAUAUGUUAGGUUCCCAGCUGACGCAAUCUUCCAUGUUGUUUGAGAUCUUGAAUUGAUUUCAAAGAUAUAGAGGAUAUGGGAAAAAAAAAAAGCAAAAGAAAAACAAAACAAGGUGAAGUUGGAGGUAGAGCACACACAUACCCUUUAUGCUUCCCUUUUCUCUCAACCACGUAGUAUUGAUUGGAAGAUAAUGGUGAUUGAGAACAGGAGUGAAAAGAACACGGUUCGUAUGAACGUGUUGAUUCUCCCCAGUUUGCUGCGUAUACGUAACCAUCAAGUUCUUGUUUUGAGGAAAAGGCAGGCCCCAGCUUACUCGAUCACUCUUGAACAAUCCACAACAGAAGGUAGGCACUGCAACUUCUUCAUCCUGGAUUACCAAUACACCAGAAUUUGGACCCUCGGAGGCGGUGAUGAAAGAGCUGAAGGAUCUCUUAGAUACAUCGAAGAGGCCUUGUCACAUACAUUUCCUCUCAAACUUUUCUCUGCGUAUAGUGACCAAGCAAAAAUUCUUUAUCUUAUCCUUAAUUUCAAAUUUGUUUUAGGAGUCAAAUCAUAAUUUGUCAAACUAUGGAGAAUUAAAAUGUAAUUUUAUAUAUCAGGACCAAACUGAAAUUUUAUAAUUUUCAACCGUGAAACUACUUUAUCUAGAAUUUCUAGCAAAGAUGUUCCAAAUUUCUUAGCCAUUCUUGCCCAUGACACAUCAAAGAAACAAAUCAACCUCAUGUUAUUAUCCCUAACAAAAUCAUUCAAAAUCAAUUAAUUCAACAUUAACCCAUAUUAAUCAUCAAUUAUUGAAACUUAAAACAUAAAUUUCAAAUAUUUAGAAACAUUAACACGUUAAAAAAAAAAUGUAAUGAGCAACAAAAACAAAAAUCAUGUAUAUCAAAUUACGAUCUCAACACAAAAACGUAAUUUAUCCAUCACCUCAUGAUCCUUUUUUCUUUUCCUUCCUCCUCUUUUUCUUUUGGUUUUCUCCGUUUCUGGUUUCUUCUUCUUUUUUCUUUUUUAUCUCUCUCUAUAUAUCAAUCUAUGUGAAACGACUGACGUGUCCCCAACCAUUACCAACCACAUAAGUUGUUCAAAUCGCGAUUUAACACGGCACGGAAAAUACAAAACAAACUCGGAUCGUAAAAACAGAUCGUAAAAUCGUAAGGAAUUUUAAAAUAUAUUAACAAAAAAUUCAUGAUUCAAAUAAAAAUUCAUACAUAUACUAUACAAUUAAUUUUUUCGUAAAAUCAUUCUAUCAUUCCAUUAAUAAAAUCAAUUUCAUCAUUCCAUCAUAUACUAAAAUAGCAUCUUAAAACCAUUCCAUCAUUCCACAAUGCCAUACAGACACAACUAAUUCAAUCCAAUCCAAUCCAAUAGUCCACAGUAUACUGUUCCAUCAAUUCCAUUUAAUUCAUUCCAUCAAUUCAAGGGACAGAAAAACAUUAUAAAUGGACAAAUUACAGGACCGGCAAAAUCAUUCCAUCAAAAAUGUAUAAACGCCUGAAGCAGAAAAAUUAUUUGAUUAACAAUUGUAGCUAUGAAUUCCAGCAAGGUUCAUACAACAUCUACUCUCCAUUAUGCUAAACUUCUCAAGAAAAGAAAAUUAUGACUAUAUAUGAAGGGUUAGCACUACAACUCAAAGAAUCUUGUAGAUAAAAGAAGAUGGAAAGCCUAAAGAAUGAACGAGCAGUACAAAUAAAAAAGUAUAUUAGUACUUGAUAUCAGGAUUUUAGACUAAUAAUUUGUCAUGAUCUACAUAAGUUUGCAGUAACAGUUUCUUCUAGGGAGAAGAAUCUGAUAGCCUGUCACAAAGACAUUUGCAAUGUAUCAUCAAGCAUUCCCCAGUUCUUUUGUCGUCACAGAUUCUUCACAACUUGUCACUGCAUCACUUUUCAUCAAACCGACAGUCCACGUAUCAAAAUUUUGAAUACAUCCUAGGAAACAAAAUUCAUCCCAGAGUUAAGGUCAAUACAAUAGCUAGGCAAAAUGGAACACGUUACAAUCUAACUUUGAUUUUGAUCCAAAUUUUCAUGGAAGUGAACAAAGUGGAAAAUUAAAGAUAAAUGGUUGUACCUUGAUUGCAUUAGUGCUCUCUAGUUCAGUGAUUUUACCAUCUUCUUCAUGAUUUUCAUGUAGUGGCUCUUCGUUUGCAGGCAUUAUAAUUUAUUUUUAUUUUUUUGAUUUACGUGGGUAUCCGGGCCAGCUUGCGCGCACCACGACUAAUUUCACGGCUCGCUGAACAUCCUGCAAACCCAGUGAGCAUGUAAGGCACUGCGGGAGUGACAGGCGUACACGCUGAGGCUUGAACCCAGGAUGCAGAGGUAAGGAAACUCCUUGCCACCGCUGGGCUACAAGCCUCGGUGUCAGGCAUUAUAAUUUCAUUCCACCACUGGUUGAUCUUCGUCAUGUUGUUCCUCAUUUUCUUCAGCCACUAUUAUUAAACACCAAUUCCAAAAUUUUCAUUAUAAUUAGACCCAAUUAUCUUAAAGAACAAUUAAAAUUACACUACAAGAUUUAACAGUUUUACCGAUGAAAUUUUUCCGUCGGCGUAAGACACAUAUUCCAUCGGUAAUUAAUUUACCGACGAAAUCACCGACGAAAUUCUCCGUCGGUGAAUUUUUGUCCGUCGGUAAUCCGUUGGUAAUAAAAAAAUAUAUUACCGAUGGAUUUACUGGCGGAAGACGCGUCGGUAAAAAUAUUUUUUUAUUACCGACGGAAAUUCCGUCGGUAAUUAUUUAAAAACAUUUUAAAAAAAUUCAUUUUAUAAAAUUAUAAAAUAUAAAUUAACAUAAAUCAACAUUGUAUAAUAUAUACUCAAAAUGCUUGGAAAAAAGAAUAAGAAAAUCAACUCAAACAAAUUUGCAACAAAUAAAUAAAACAAAAAUUAAUUCAACUAAAAAAAUUCAUAUGAAAAAAAUGAAGUUGCAAUUGCUAAAAAUUUAAAAAUCCUAUAAAUAAAUCAACUAAAAAUUGAUCUCAUAUGAAAAAAAAAUCUCACAACAACAUUUAUACAAUUAUUAAGAACAAAAUCAAUUAAAAAUAAAUAAAAAACAAAUAUAGUGAAAAAAUCAUGAAAAAAUAAGAAAAAAGAAAAAUCUUACCUUAAUGUACUUGCAAGUGAAGCUAAGGAAAAAAAUUUGUAAAGCAUAUUAAUUAAAAAAAACUAAGAGGAUAAAAGAAGAAAGAAGAAGAAGACAUACCCGAGCAUGGAGGAAAAGAGAAGGAGAUGAGGAGAGAAAAGAAGAAAAAAUAAUAUUGAUGUUUUUUACAUAUAGUGAAGAAGAAGAAGUAGAAGAAGAAGAAGAAGAAAUAAUGAGUCUGUCUCUUGUGAAAUAAGCGGAUUCAGGUUUUUUAUUGGGGCGCGUUACCGACGGAUUUACCGAAUAAUUGAAUAUUAAUAUUUUUUUAAUUAUUCCAUCUGUAAUUUCGUAAAAAGUUUUCAGAAACCGCCAAAAAUUACCGACGAUUUUUCAAUCCGUCGGUGAUUCCGUCUGUAAUAUUUAAAUGAAAAUUUUAAAUCAAUUGAAUUUUUUCAGAAAACCGCCAAAUAACACCCAGAUUUUCAAUCCGUCGGUGAUUUUGUCCGUAAAGAACAACAAUUAACAGUGCAAUUGGAAGGUGAACAGUUCUGGAGCUCUCUGGAAAAUACCGACGAAAAUUCCGUCGGUAAUUCCCUUUGUAAUUGACAUGAUGAACAUGUUCACAGUUUACCAACGGAUUUACCAAAUUACCGACGGAAAAUUUCGUCGGUAAUUCUGUUGGUAAAAAAUGACACGUUAUCAUUUUUUUUGCUUUGUUUUAAUUUUUUUUCCCACGGUAAUUCCCUCGGUAUUUCCAUUUGUAUUUAUUGAUUUUCUGGUAGUGUUAACCCAAGAAUCCAAAAAAGUAAAAAAAAAUUAAUAAUAAUAAUAAAUAAAAAAACCACAUAUCUGCUUCUCUAUAAGUAUUUUAGAAAACCAUUUUAAUACUUCGGUGUGAGCUUACAACCAUCAAGCCUUAGACUGUUGAAGCAGUAAAUGGAGGGACAAUGAUUUGUUCUUCUCCACGUAAGGAUUUCAGGUCGACGAUGCAGGGAGUAAAACCAGAGGCGAAAAAGAAAAAACAAAGCUUGGGAAUAAAUUCUUACCUUAUUCUCGAUAGCAAGCAAAACAAGAGGCACUGAGAGAGUGGAGAGUGAAAAGUGGAGAUUGGGGAUAAUUAGAUUCAGAAUUUCAAAUCUUAAAUAUUUAGCAGACAAUUAGUAAAAAUGGAGAGUAAAGAGUACUGCGAACAGGGAAAGGGAGGGGUGGGGAAGGGAAAGGGGAAACUGGGGAAGGGGAAAGGGCAACGGGAAAGGGUGGAGGCGCUGCAACUGUUUUAUAUUUCACGUGAAAUCGUGAAAUCGGUUCGUGUUUAAUGUUUUUUCCGAGUUAGACUGAUUUUAUACAAGUUUGACCGGGUUUGACCGAUUUUACUGGUUUUCAAGUUUUAAAUCCGAUUUUGCACGUUUUAUAUGUUUUGACUCGUAAAAUGGUAUGAUUUUACGAGUUAAAACGUGAUUUUGAUAAUCUUGCAACCACAGCCAUGCACAUAAGGGCAAUACCGUCUGUUUAUCCAAACUUACAUAAGCAUGCAUGAUUAAUAAGAAACUGGUCCCUAGUUAACUUCCAUAAAUGAUGAAGCUUUUCAGACACGAAGAUUCGUGAGAUUUUCAUAAACAUUUGAAGACAUGAUGGAGCUCGUUAAUUUCUGGAUAUCAAGUAGCUCAAAAAUUCUGUUCGGGGAGUUGAAACAAAACGGCAAUCUUCCAUGCAAGUCAGAAAAGGUAUAGCGGGUUAACAAAAAAACUGAUGCUUAUAGCUACAUGAACCAAUCAAAACUUUUAAGGAGCAUAAAAGACUGUUCAAUCAUUCUCAGAUUGGCCUCAUAUUCCGACAUCUAUCAUGCAUGUAUAAUGUAUCGAGAGAGACCGAAGAGUUAGUAUUGUCAAUUAAAACCUAUUAUGAGGUUUGAUGCAAGCUUUGUGUCUGUCAAGAGCUUACAUUCAGCAGAACUAGACAUGCUAUUUGUGAAAGAUUGAACCUGCAGAGUUAGCUGUUGGAUAGUUUCCUUUCACUGUUUGAUUUAUUAUUUUUUUGUAAGGUCCUUUGGCCUUCAAUUUUUGGAUGUUGCAGAUAAUUUUGUUUUCACAUCAGUCCAAUCACUGAAAAUUGAUUCAUUCCUUGAAAUGAUAAUUCUCAAUUCUCUAUAAAGGAUCUAGUCCAUUUCCUCUUCCUUCCUUCCCUUUUCCUUGCCGAAAUCAUGUUUUUGUUAUUAGGCAUGGGAUGUUUCUUAAAGCAUUAUUUAUCCCAUUGUCUCAAUCUUCUCGUGUAUAUAUAGAGAGAUAAGGAAGAUAUCAAUCUGAAAAGUCAAUAGCACAGACAAUUUAGACAAGUAAUAAGAAUCCUACAAGAGGAAAAGUAGAUCAAAAGGUUCUGCAAUGUUGAUACUUGGUCAAACCGGUUGAUUUGUUAUAUUUAGUUUUAAAAAUGUACAAUAUUUGUCGCCAACAGUGCAGCUUUGGAUUUUGGAAUAUUGAUUCUUCCAGCCAAAAAUACUAGGUUAUCUUAUUAGCUUAAUCGUUAUCUUAUUAGUGGGGGCAGAGGAAGAAUAUUUAUGAUCAUCCGUGCCCAAUCGUUAUCUUAUUAGCUUUGAAAUCCGUGUCAUUGUGCAAUUUUAAUCAAUUUAUUAGCUCAACCUAUAAUUUCAAAAUAGUUUAUUCACUGCAAUCGCUUGAAUUUAUAAAAAAAAAAAAAAAAAAAAAAACAUCAAGGCAGACCAAAGGGUUUUUUUGGUGUGCAGUAAUGCAGUUUGUAAUGUUUUUCAAAGACAUUUUUUAUAUCUUUUAAUUUUUAACCUUAACACAUCAAAUUAAUUAAAAAUAUUAAAUAAAUAUUUUUAAAAUAAAAAUAAUUUAAAAAACUACUACAACCACGGUAUCAUAGAUAGGCUAACACUACACAUCUUAUAACUGAAAUGGUACCACGUGUAACAUAUGAAUACAGCAAAAGAGAGGAAAAACAUAAAACAUUCUCAUUCUUCCCAGUACAUUAAAUCCCUCAACCAACACAUAGCAUCCAGAUUUCCUCUCUCUACCAAUCCCACUUGCUCACAAAUUGUUAAAAAUAAAACCAUCUGCUCCUUGUUUUUUUUAUUUAUAUAUAAUUCUAAUUGAUUAAAAAAAGUAAAAACGAGGCAUAUAUAAUUUUAAUAAUUCCCAUCCGCUUCUAAUGCGAUGAGGAUGCCUGAAAUCAUAGGUCAGCAAUAAGCUUCCAUCCAUUCUCUUCAAGGCAAACCUCUCAACCAAAAUAGCAACCAAAUCUCCUCCACUUCCCCUUGCCAUCAAAAACCUCUUCUCUCUUCACCCUCACCUCCCUUUCAUCCCCGCUAGCACCCCCUACUCCUUGCACCCACUUCAUUCCCUCCACAAUCUCCAUUCUCAGUCCCACACUUGCUUCUGAUCCUGUCACUCUGUUGAAACUCCUGAACCACGUCACCCCAUCAACAACAUCCCUUUGGUCCGCCACAGCUUCUGUCCCACCAACUGUAACAACUUCACAUUCAACAGCAACAUCCACAGUUACAGUAUUGCCUUCAUUAUACAUAUCUUCACAAGCAAAGAUUUGCUCCCAUUGUUGCUCGAGUGUCAUCUCAUAAUAGGUUGAAUGUUUCAUUUGAUCUUUAAGAGCUGUCCCUUCCUUGAUAAACAUGAAAGGGCAAUACCACUUCCCCGCUACUACUACAGGCGGGGAACAUUUUUGUGACACUGGGAAGUUGAAGUCCGGGAGGCGGGCGCGGAGAGCUGUGUUAAGGCCUGGUGCUUCAUUUAGCUGGAACUCCUUUGAAGUUGAG